rnacentral:rRNA from 1 species
UACGAAGGGGGCUAGCGUUGUUCGGAAUCACUGGGCGUAAAGCGCACGUAGGCGGUUUGCUAAGUCAGGGGUGAAAUCCUGGAGCUCAACUCCAGAACUGCCUUUGAUACUGGCGAUCUUGAGUCCGGGAGAGGUGAGUGGAACUGCGAGUGUAGAGGUGAAAUUCGUAGAUAUUCGCAAGAACACCAGUGGCGAAGGCGGCUCACUGGCCCGGUACUGACGCUGAGGUGCGAAAGCGUGGGGAGCAAACAGG